CCUACGGGAGGCAGCAGUGAGGAAUAUUGGUCAAUGGGCUUACGCCUGAACCAGCCAAGUCGCGUGAGGGAAGACUGCCCUAUGGGUUGUAAACCUCUUUUGUCAGGGAGCAAGUGGCGCUACGUGUAGCGUUAUCGAGAGUAGCUGAAGAAAAAGCAUCGGCUAACUACGUGCCAGCAGCCGCGGUAAGACGGAGGAUGCGAGCGUUAUCCGGAUUGAUUGGGUUUAAAGGUACCGUAGGCGGAAUGCCAAGUCAGCGGUAAAAUCGCGGGGCUAAACCUCGCUCCGCAGUUGAAACUGGCGUUCUUGAGUGGGCUAGAAGUAUGCAGAAUGCGUGGUGUAGCGGUGAAAUGCAUAGAGAUCACGCAGAACUCCGAUUGCGAAGGCAGCAUACCGGCGCCCAACUGACGCUGAAGCACGAAAGCGUGGGUAUCGAACAGGAUUAGAUACCCCUGUAGUC
rnacentral:rRNA from 1 species